AGAAAAUGUCUCGCUUCUACCUGGGUUG
rnacentral:piRNA from 1 species